rnacentral:rRNA from 1 species
CCUACGGGAGACAGCAGUAGGGAAUUUUCGUCAAUGGGCGCAAGCCUGAACGAGCAAUGCCGCGUGAACGAGGAAGGUCUUCGGAUCGUAAAGUUCUGUUGAAGGGGAAAAAGAGCGGAGAGAGGAAAUGGUCUCCGAUUGAUAUUACCCUUCGAGGAAGUCACGGCUAACUACGUGCCAGCAGCCGCGGUAAUACGUAGGUGGCGAGCGUUAUCCGGAAUGAUUGGGCGUAAAGGGUGCGUAGGCGGCCUGCUAAGUCUGGAGUGAAAGGUACCGGCUCAACCGGUAUAGGCUCUGGAAACUGGCGGGCUAGAGAGCAGGAGAGGGCGGUGGAACUCCAUGUGUAGCGGUAAAAUGCGUAGAUAUAUGGAAGAACACCAGUGGCGAAGGCGGCCGCCUGGCCUGUUACUGACGCUGAGGCACGAAAGCGUGGGGAGCAAAUAGGAUUAGAUACUCCAGUAGUC